rnacentral:rRNA from 1 species
UACGGGGGGGGCAAGCGUUGUUCGGAAUUACUGGGCGUAAAGGGUCUGUAGGUGGCUUGCUAAGUCAGACGUGAAAUCCCUCAGCUUAACUGGGGAACUGCGUCUGAGACUGGCGAGCUUGAGGGCAGGAGAGGAGACUGGAAUUUACGGUGUAGCGGUGAAAUGCGUAGAUAUCGUAAGGAAGACCAGUGGCGAAGGCGGGUCUCUGGACAGUUCCUGACGCUGAGGCACGAAGGUCAGGGGAGCAAACGGG